rnacentral:misc_RNA from 1 species
AACGCACCUUGCGCCCCUUGGCAUUCCGAGGGGCACACCCGUUUGAGUGUCGUGAAAUUCUCAAAACCCUUUCUUUUGGUCAUUUUUGACCUUAGAAAAGGAUUUUGGACUUGGAGGCCUUUUGCUGGUUUCACCUUGAAGCGAGCUCCUCCCAAAUGUAUUAGUGGGGUCUGCAUUGUCGGUCCUUGGCGUGAUAAGUUGUUUCUACGUCUCGGAUUUUUGGCGCUGUACGCCCGCUUCCAACCGUCUCAUUGACAACGAUGGUGUUCCGGUCGCCGCCGAUUUUUUGGCGGGAGGCUUGACCCACGAAACAAACCUUGACCUCAAAUCGGGUGAGACUACCCGCUGAACUUAA